CCUACGGGGCGCAGCAGUCGAGAAUCAUUCACAAUGGGGGAAACCCUGAUGGUGCGACGCCGCGUGGGGGAAUGAAGGUCUUCGGAUUGUAAACCCCUGUCAUGUGGGAGCAAAUUAAAAAGAUAGUACCACAAGAGGAAGAGACGGCUAACUCUGUGCCAGCAGCCGCGGUAAUACAGAGGUCUCAAGAGUUGUUCGGAAUCACUGGGCGUAAGGCGUGCGUAGGCUGUUUCGUAAGUCGUGUGUGAAAGGCGCGGGCUCAACCCGCGGACGGCACAUGAUACUGCGAGACUAGAGUAAUGGAGGGGGAACCGGAAUUCUCGGUGGAGCAGUGAAAUGCGUAGAUAUCGAGAGGAACACUCGUGGCGAAGGCGGGUUCCUGGACAUUAACUGACGCUGAGGCACGAAGGCCAGGGGAGCGAAAGGGAUUAGAUACCCCAGUAGUC
rnacentral:rRNA from 1 species